UCAACAUGUCAUUUGGAGAGACACAAUGCAACUCGUAACAAUGGCUCAAUCACAUCUUCUCUGCUCCCUCUUUCAACAAUGGCUUCCCCACCCAACUUAAUAUAGGGUGGACAGGGGCAACUUCAGGACCUAAACCAGGGAAAAAGAUAGGAGCCUUCAUAAAAAUGGAACCAUCUAUCCCCAGCACAGGAACCAGAGGGCACUUCUCUACCUCUGCUUUUGAAAUAAAGAAUAUUAUCAUUGUUUCCUCCCCUGAGGAAAUAGAAGAGUAGCCAGCUCAGCUAGGGCUGUCACCUUCCUGAGGUUGCUCCACACUGGCUGACAGCCAACAGCUGCUGCUUAAAAAAUAAAAUACCCUCAUCAUAAAUAAGGAAAUUACUGAAUAAGGCUGGAAUUUCAAGAGAGGAAAUAGGUUGUACUCAUUUUCCUGCUCCAUAAGAAAGAGGACACGUGUGACUUCAGGGAGAGGCUGUGGACCAAGUGCGUCAGUACUGAGAGUGGUAGUGAGGGUCCCAGGCUGGUGCAGCAUGAAGAGUACCACAAGAAAUGCCCACCUGUGAGACCGCUGAGGCCGGGCAGCGCCUAUCCACCUCCCCACCCACUUUUUCUCAGAUCACAGGCCUGGGAUCUUGGUACAGUCCAAAUGGUGGGGAAAGAGCAUGGAGAAUAACAAAUACAGAACACUUCUUGUUGACUUCUUCAGUGCUUGUCACGGAUUGGAUUCCCUGGGAAGCAGAUGCUGUGUUGGAGAUGUGCACAUCACAAUGUUAUUGCAGGAGCAUGUUCUUGGGAAUACAAAUGUGGGGGAGUGAAGAGAAGAAAGCAGGAUGAAGCAGAAGGAAAAGAGGAGCUGCAAUCCAGUGCCCAAAGAGCUGUAGAACUGAGAUCACUCUGAAGAACUGUCCCAAACUGGAAGAAGAGGGGCAAGUAAUUAUAAUACCCUAUUGAUAAUCAUUGGAUGAGAGCUUCCCUGGGGAAGGAGGCAUUACUUUGUUCAUGGUGGGUCCCUUAAGCUAACGCAGUUUCAUCACAACGAUGCUCUCAAUCUGGAGUACACACAUCAAGAGAUGGGCAGACCCUUCAGGAGAGGUUUAAUGCAUCCAGUACACAUCGUGGUCGCUCCGCACAUGCUGGUACCCCCUGCUCCAUUAGCAGAAAUUGCUAAUUCUGAAGGUCUCCCCAUUUAAUGUAAUCCACCUCUCCCUCAUUUAAUCACAAAUACAUUCACGCCCUUCCCAGCAGGAGACAACUGAAUAUCACGUUGUGGGCUGUUCUUCAGGUACGUUCAGGUGAUAUCCAUUCCUCUUCUAGGUGCAGGUUCUCAAGGUCUACUAGCCUGUGGGCAAUGGGAGAUUGGUUAAACGAAUUGAGACACACUCAUAUGGUAGAUCAUUAAAACUAAAGUUGUAGAAGAUAAUCAUUAUAAGAGAAAAAGCUUCUGGGAUGUUGUUAAGGGGAAGAAGAUAAUAAAACAAUGUAUACCAUAUAAUUCCACUUCUGGGGAAAAAACAUACAUAUGAGAAAAAUCUGUAAGAAGGUACAUUAAAAUCCAGUAGUUACUUCUGGGGUGGUAGGAUUAUUGGUUAUUCUACUCUUUCUCCUUUUCUUUAAAUAUGUUUUCUAGAUCAGACAAAAAUAAUGUUACUUUUGAAAUACUGAAAAUAUUAUUUUUCCUCUAAAAAUUAUAGAUGUCUUAUGAGGAGUAUGUUUGUGGCUACAUUAGUCAAUUAAUGAUUGCUUGACCACUAGUUGGAGAAAUCAGGAAUGAGACUUUAAGUGGAGCUCGUAUGUUAACAGUGGCGGCUUCAGAGCCUGGAAGAUUUAGGAAAGGACUAGUCUGGGUAAAAGGAGAAGGUUUAGACCUAUGCUGUUCAAGACAGAGGCCACUAGCCACAUGUGACCACUGAGCACUUGAAAUAUGGCUAGUUCAAAUUGAGAUGUGCUUUAAGUGUAAAAAAAAAAUAAGAUUUCAAAGAUUUAGUAUUAAAAAUAUUUUAAAAUCCUCAAAAAUUUUUAAUAUUACAUCUUGAAAUAAUUAUAUUUUGUAUAUAUUGGGUAAAUAAAAUAUAAUAUUAAAAAUGAUUCACAUCUUUGUUUUGUACCGUGCUGAUUUAGAUACUUGUCAGGAAAUGUAAGUUCUCUGAAACACCCCCCAAAGGGAAAAGAAUAUGAAAAAGCAUUUGCCUCACAGGAAACCUGCCAACCUUUCUGUUUUACUUGGUGCUUUAGUAGGACAACCACUGGAAAGGGCAGUUUGUUGUCAAAUGAGCAUGUCAAAUGAACUCCAACCACUGCAAGGCAAAAUGAAACCCACGCUACCUAAAAGGUGUAGAUAUCAGUCCAUGUAAUUGAAAUCUGUCGACUUGGGGGUAAGUUAAAGAAACACCGUGUUGUUGUAGAAGGCCAUUGACAUCUUCUCCUGGUAAAACCCCCAGAGGGUGCUGUCUUAAGGUGUUGGACAGAAACUGCCCCAUGGCAUCUACACACUGGAUGUUGAUUUGAGUUAAACUGAGCAUUUGACAGAAGGAUUCUGACCCAUUCCCUGGAGUGAUUUGGGAAGGUAUUUAUAAAAAGGAAUGAUGUGCUCCAGUGAUUUACAAUAAUGGCAUAUAUUGUUUUGUCUUUGGUUUGUUUCUUGAUUGUAAAUAUUGGUCAGUGUCCAAAAUUAAGAUGCAAUCACUGGUUACCCCAACCUGGGAUGUUUAUUUGGAAAAACACAAAGUGGUUUAAAAUUCAUACAAAUCACUCUAAACCUGGGUACACUCUUUUUCUUUAAAUCUUAGAUUCUGCUGUCAGAUCAAGAGAAAAAGGGAAAGCUUUCAUAUUGCUCAAAAUGAUUUUUUAAAAUUUCCUUCAUUUCUUACUUCCUUCUCAACUCUUUUCCACUCUAAAACAUUCUCAACUCCCUAACUCAUUAAGAUAUUUUAUUCAUAAAGAGAACUUAAAUUAAGAUUUAAAUAAAUAUUUAUUAAACUGUUUUCCAGAUUUACAAAAUCCAGCUGGGUAACUCAUUGAAAAUAAGUACUGUGUAAUCUGUUGUCUAGUAAAAAGGGUUUGAACAGGAUGUUUAGGCCACAUCUCAGCUCCAUCAUUCCUUCUGGUAUCCUGGCAUCACUGGGUAAGUUCACAGUUUAAGGAAGGAAUCUGAGGUGGUAGAACCAGGUGUGCUGGAGAGGCAGCCUAGGUCAGUGGCUAAGAGUGAAAUUCUGGCUUCACCACUUUCUAGCUCUUACAACCUUAGGAAGGUUAUGUAAUUUCAUAUUAUUAUUAUUAUUAAAGCCUUAUGAUAUAGUUAUUAUUAUUAUCUCCAUUUUAAAGAUGAGAAAACACAGAGCACAAAACCAUAAAGACUGUGUCUGGGAUGCAGUAAGUGUUAUGUAAGGGUGUUAAGCAAGUAAGCAUACAAAAUGCAGGACCAAAAGAAGCAACACCAGCCCCCAAACUACACCAUGUGAAUUUCCAAAGAACCAAGUGUUCACACUACAUCAAAACGAGCCUGUUGAAUCUUUUGGACUCUGAGAAAUAAAGCAUAGUUAUUAUCAAAUUAAGAUUUAAAUUCAAUUCCUCAGCUGCGUCUUGAUCACUGGAUACCACUUUAAUAAUCACAUUAUUAAAGAAAGUUCCAAGUUUGGGGUGGAAUACUGCAGAUGAGGAAAGUAGAAAUUACUGCUAUAUUAUGAUCUACACUUUGUCUUAAUAUGAUCUGGCCCAUAUAAAAAUGCUCCAGAACAGUUGCAAAAUAUGGAUAUUUUUCUUUGAAAACCAGCCUUUUGUCUUUAUAACUUACAAAGCCAUUUUUCCCAGUCCACAAAGCUAUUUGGUCACAAAUUUAAGAAACCAGUGAUUCCUGAGAUAUAUGUGCUUUCACACUUCAGGAAAUAAUUUCAAAAUGAUUUUGGCAGUCUACCCAUUUUUAUAAAGAUAAAAAACUAAAAUAUUAUUUUGUCUUAGAAAUAAGUAUUAAUAGAGACAUUAUUAUAUCUUUGCCCCUAGAGCUUUAGAAGCAAAGAUUUGUCUUUCUCUUCCUCUCUCUCUCACUCUUCCCUAUUUCCUCCUUCCUGGUGAGUCUUACUUCUGUAUACUAGAGUAAUUAUAUCUAUUUUUUUGAAUGCUUUUGUAUGUAUAUUAUAAAGUGUUUCCUUUCUUGUUCUCAAUUCAAAUGGAAUACUGAACUGUGCUCUCUGUAUACUAAGUUAACUGGGGCCUGUCGGGGGGGUGGGGGGAGGGGGGAGGGAUAGCAUUAGGAGGAAAACCUAAUGUAAAUGAUGAGUUAAUGGGUCCAGCAAACCAACAUGGCACAUGUAUACAUAUGUAACAAACCUGCACGUUGUGCACAUGUACCCUAGAACUUAAAGUAUAAUAAAAAAAAAAAUUUAAAAAAAAAUUUUGCCCAGCUCGUUUUUUUUCUUUAACUAGAAUACUAAAGAGAUACAAUGAUCUAUUUUAAACAAAGCUAUUUGUCUUAGUAUUUUUUAAAAUAGUACAAGGUGGAAAACAAGCUCAGGGUCUAUCCCUAUCAGAAUAGUCAAACAACCAGAGUUCAUGCAUACUCUAGUAUAAUCUGCAUCUGCUUAAAAAUUUGAAGUCACAUAUACUAAUUUUAAAAAGCCAAUUCCGACACAUUUUAAGAGGGAAACGAUGCAGAUUUUCCGCUCUAGCUCUGCUAUGGUUUGAUUCUUUGUCUCUUCCAAAACUCAUGUUGAAAUUUUAUCCCCAGUGUGGCAGUAUUGAGAGGUUAGGCCUUUAAGAGGUGAUUGGAUUGUGAGGGUUCUGACACGAAUAGAUUGAUCCAUUUGUGGAUUAAUGGGCUAUCACAGGAGUGGAAAGAGAGGAAGAGAGAUCUGAGCUAGCACACUUAGAAAGCUUGCCAUGUGAUACCCUGUGCCACCUUGGAACUCUAUAGAGAAUCCC
rnacentral:lncRNA from 10 species